rnacentral:rRNA from 1 species
UACGUAGGGGGCAAGCGUUGUCCGGAAUUAUUGGGCGUAAAGAGCGUGUAGGCGGUCCGGUAAGUCAGCUGUGAAAGUCAAGGGCUCAACCCUUGAAAGCCGGUUGAUACUGUCGGGCUAGAGUCCGGAAGAGGCGAGUGGAAUUCCCGGUGUAGCGGUGAAAUGCGCAGAUAUCGGGAGGAACACCAAUGGCGAAGGCAGCUCGCUGGGACGGUACUGACGCUGAGGAGCGAAAGCGUGGGUAGCAAACAGG